AUUGAACGCUGGCGGCAGGCCUAACACAUGCAAGUCGAGCGGAUGAAGGGAGCUUGCUCCUGGAUUCAGCGGCGGACGGGUGAGUAAUGCCUAGGAAUCUGCCUGGUAGUGGGGGAUAACGUCCAGAAACGGGCGCUAAUACCGCAUACGUCCUGAGGGAGAAAGUGGGGGAUCUUCGGACCUCACGCUAUCAGAUGAGCCUAGGUCGGAUUAGCUAGUUGGUGGGGUAAAGGCCUACCAAGGCGACGAUCCGUAACUGGUCUGAGAGGAUGAUCAGUCACACUGGAACUGAGACACGGUCCAGACUCCUACGGGAGGCAGCAGUGGGGAAUAUUGGACAAUGGGCGAAAGCCUGAUCCAGCAAUGCCGCGUGUGUGAAGAAGGUCUUCGGAUUGUAAAGCACUUUAAGUUGGGAGGAAGGGCAGUAAGUUAAUACCUUGCUGUUUUGACGUUACCAACAGAAUAAGCACCGGCUAACUUCGUG
rnacentral:rRNA from 1 species